rnacentral:rRNA from 1 species
CCUACGGGAGGCAGCAGUAGGGGAUAUUGCUCAAUGGGGGAAACCCUGAAGCAGCAACGCCGCGUGGGGGAUGACGGUUUUCGGAUUGUCAACUCCUUUUGUUAGAGAAGAUAAUGACGGUAUCUAACGAAUAAGCAUCGGCUAACUCAGUGCCAGCAGCCGCGGUAAUACGGAGGGUGCAAGCGUUACUCGGAAUCACUGGGCGGAAAGAGCGCGUAGGCGGGAUAGCAAAUCAGAUGUGAAAUACUAUGGCUUAACCAUAGAACUGCAUUUGAAACUGUUGUUCUAGAGUAUGGGAGAGGUAGGUGGAAUUCUUGGUGGAGGGGUAAAAUGCGUAGAGAUCAAGAGGAAUACUCAUUGCGAAGGCGACCUGCUAGAACAUAACUGACGCUGAGGCGCGAAAGCGUGGGGAGCAAACAGGAUUAGAUACCCCGGUAGUC